rnacentral:rRNA from 1 species
UACGAAGGGGGCUAGCGUUGUUCGGAAUUACUGGGCGUAAAGCGCACGUAGGCGGAUUGGCAAGUCAGGGGUGAAAUCCCGGGGCUCAACCUCGGAACUGCCUUUGAUACUGCCAGUCUAGAGUCCGGAAGAGGUGGGUGGAAUUCCUAGUGUAGAGGUGAAAUUCGCAGAUAUUAGGAAGAACACCGGUGGCGAAGGCGGCCCACUGGUCCGGAACUGACGCUGAGGUGCGAAAGCGUGGGGAGCAAAC